ACUGAGUCCCGUACAAACUGCGAUGUCAGCUGUCUCGCUUAUUGCCAAGGUGAAGGGGGCUCAGGUCUAGUGCUGGGAGCAAGGCUGGGAACCAGGUUCCAUGUGGUGUCUCUCAUUAGACGCGCCAGGUUAUCUGAAUCAUGAAUUAUAAGGUCUCAAGCAAAAUGAGACUGCUCUGGAUGUGUACAGUGUCUGGCCCACAGAAGAUACUCAAGACAAAUUUGUUGAAUAAAUGAGUACAUGGACACAAACAUAUACAGGAAACUGUGGCUGGGGAACCACAGGGAGGGAUCCUUUCAUGCUUUGGAGAUGAAGGCAAAGCAUGAAGAAAUGAGUUCUCAAGAAGAGGCGGACGAUGAGAUGAGCUUGGAAGGAGCC